rnacentral:rRNA from 1 species
AGGACGAACGCUGGCGGCGCGCCUAACACAUGCAAGUCGAGCGAUAACCAGGGCUUGCCCUGGGGACAGCGGCGAACGGGUGCGUAACACGUGAGCAACCUGCCCCAAAGACCGGGACAACCCGAGGAAACUCGGACUAAUACCGGAUGUCCUCACCGGAUCGCAUGAUCUGGUGAGGAAAUGGAUUCCGCUUUGGGAUGGGCUCGCGGUCUAUCAGCUUGUUGGUGGGGUAACGGCCUACCAAGGCGACGACGGAUAGCUGGUCUGAGAGGACGAUCAGCCACACUGGGACUGAGACACGGCCCAGACUCCUACGGGAGGCAGCAGUGGGGAAUCUUGCGCAAUGGGGGAAACCCUGACGCAGCGACGCCGCGUGCGGGAUGAAGGCCUUCGGGUUGUAAACCGCUUUCAGCAGGGACGAAAGUUGACGGUACUGCAGAAGAAGGCCGGCCAACUACGUGCCAGCAGCCGCGGUAA